CGAUGAAGAACGCAGCGAAAUGCGAUAAGUAAUGUGAAUUGCAGAUUUUCAGUGAAUCAUCGAAUCUUUGAACGCACCUUGCGCCCCUUGGUAUUCCGAGGGGCAUGCCUGUUUGAGUGUCAUUAAAUCCUCAACCGCGCCGAUCGAUUUCGGUGGGGCUUGGACUUUGGAGCGUGCUGGCGAAGGUCGGCUCCUCUUUAAAUGCAUCAGCGGAAGAAACCUUUGUCUUUCCUGCCCUUCGGUGUGAUAAUCGUGUUGCGCCGCGGUGGAACUUCAACGAUCCGCUUACAAUGGUCUUCGGACGAAUACCUCAUGUCAUCUUGACCUCAAAUCAGGUAGGACUACCCGCUGAACUUAA
rnacentral:rRNA from 1 species